rnacentral:pre_miRNA from 1 species
CUGCUGAAGCUGCCAUGUCUAAGAAGAAAACUUUGGAGAAAAAUUUUCUUCUUAGACAUGGCAGCGUCAACAG